GCAGCCGCGGUAAUUCCAGCUCCAAUAGCGUAUAUUAAAGUUGUUGUGGUUAAAAAGCUCGUAGUUGAACCUUGGGCCUGGCUGGCCGGUCCGCCUCACCGCGUGUACUGGUCCGGCCGGGCCUUUCCCUCUGUGGAACCCCAUGCCCUUCACUGGGUGUGGCGGGGAAACAGGACUUUUACUUUGAAAAAAUUAGAGUGCUCCAGGCAGGCCUAUGCUCGAAUACAUUAGCAUGGAAUAAUAGAAUAGGACGUGUGGAUCUAUUUUGUUCCAUUCUAGGACCGCCGUAAUGAUUAAUAGGGACAGUCGCCGGCAUCAGUAUUCAAUUCUCAGAGGUGAAAUUCUUGGAUUUAUUGAAGACUAACUACUGCGAAAGCAUUUGCCAAGGAUGUUUUCAUUAAUCAGGAACGAAAGUUAGGGGAUCGAACACGAUCAGAUACCGUCGUAGUCUUAACCAUAAACUAUGCCGACUAGGGAUCGGACGAUGUUUCUUAUUGACUCGUUCGGCACCUU
rnacentral:rRNA from 1 species